AUUGAACGCUGGCGGCAGGCCUAACACAUGCAAGUCGAGCGAGCGGCGGACGGGUGAGUAAUGUCUUGGAAACUGCCUGAUGGAGGGGGAUAACUACUGGAAACGGUAGCUAAUACCGCAUACCAUCAGAUUUGCCCAUAUGGGAUUAGCUAGUAGUUGGGGUAACGGCUCACCUAGGCGACGAUCCCUAGCUGGUCUGAGAGUAUGACACGCCACGCGGGAACUGAGACACGGUCGAGACUCCUACGGGAGGCAGAAGUGGGGAACAUGGCACAAUGGGAGCAAGCCUGAUUCAGCCAGGCCGCGUGUGUGAAGAAGGCCUUCGGGUUGUAAAGCACGUUCAGCGGGGAGGCGUUACCCGCAGAAGAAGCACCGGCUAACUCCGUGCCAGCAGCCGCGGUAAUUC
rnacentral:rRNA from 1 species